rnacentral:lncRNA from 12 species
UUUUUUUCCUGCAAAAUGUGGUGGAGUAAGGCUGUGGAGCACAUCUUUCCUUCUGGAUGCUGUCAGCAGUGUUGGGAAUGUCUUCAGAGUUGGGAUUUGGACCUGGACCUCCCGCCAUCCCUGGGCGUGUAUUGGUCUGAUUCAGUCUUACAGUUUUGAUGUCUUAAACAAACGUCAGCACCUUUACAAGGAGCACAUUGACAAGUGGAGGAGACAAGCAAGUGGGCUGAGAAGACAUCUGCCUCCAAUAUUCUGAUGUACCUCGAGGACCUGCUUCUGGAGAGAGAAGUGCUUGUUGAAGAGCACAUUGUUGUCUUCCCCAGCUGUAACCAGGAUACAAUUUCCUCUCCAGAAACUCACCCACAGCCAGGAUCAACAAGAAGGAGAGCUCCCCAGACCUUGUAG